rnacentral:lncRNA from 1 species
UCACGGAGAUAGGAUUUUGCUAUGCCUAUCCGUGCGGCACUUAGUCGCCUUUGGUUGCUAGGACGAGCUAAGUAAGCCUUUGGGAUUGUAAUGCAGCGGAAAUGAGAACUAAGUAGAGAAGAGAACACAAGAGAGCUUUGUUGUAGAACUCUUACUACCCAAAUGCUUUGUAUUACAUGAAUUGCUUGGCUAAGCUUGGUUUUCUUGGUUGAUUUACAAAUGAAGUGAGGGGUGGUAUUUAUAGCCACUUCCACCUCCUUAAUGGACGGCUAGGAUUUAGCCUACAAAUAUCAACGGUCUAGAUUACAUGGAUAAUUCUAGACUAAUGUAGACACUACACAAAAUAUCUCCUUGUGUGGAG